AGAUUAUGACCGUCCUGCUUUGACAUGCCCUGCAACAAAAGGCCGUUCUGCAUUCUGACACUGUACUCCCCCCCCCUCCACCAUCCAUAAAAGCCUGUGGUUGCCGCGCUUACGGUCCAUAAUUUGAGGCAUCAGCCCCAAAUCAUGGCCGCAUCUGCCACCCAGAGGAAAAUAAAAACAAAGCUGUGCAAACAAGGUCAGCCCAAACAAGAGGGCAGACUAAUACCCAGAGGAAUGUUCGCGAGGCGCCAUGCCUCGGGCUGCAGCGGCCCUGGGAUCAGCGCAUGACGGAGUGUGAGUGAGAAGCUACGCUCUUUUCAGGCUUUGUAGAUUCACUCCUGGUCGACGGAUGAAAAUAUGAAAGUUAUGUGAACUCUGACCUGCUGAAAAGUAACCGGAGAGAGUAGAAAAGUAGUGGGGGAUUACAGGGCGUCUACACAUUUUUCUGACGCUUCUUUUUUUUUUACUUUCUUUUUGGUCAGUAUUUUCUUUAUUAGCCUUGGUUUGCAAUAUUUCAAUAUGAAACAUGGAGAGGAGAGCAAUUUAAAAGGAAGAUAGUGAAUAAAGUAUGAAAAUGUAGAUUGGUUUAAUAAUUUUUUUUCUCCCCCUGGAAGAGAUUGGAGGAUGGAUAUGACUUUUUUAAAGAAUAGGUAAUUUAAUAUUGAAAUAUGAAUACAUCUCUAUUCUUUCGGGGGGGUUCCCACACAGAUGAAUGGAAGAUAGCCAGAUGAAAACAUCUGUUAUAGAAUGAAAAAAAAUAACCAUUCUCUCAUAAUCCCUUUUGGGUUUUUAAAAAAAACAAAAAAAAAAACAGUUGCGGAUGGGAUAGAGCGGGUUACAGUCCGGAAAUAAUUUUUUUCCGUUUCCUUUUCAGAAACUUAUCCAGGUCUGCGUAAGGUGCACUUUCACUGAAACGGACCAAUAGGAAGUAAGGUCUGCUUCGUUUGCAUUUAGGUUUAAAGUGGGAAAGUUGAUCCCGCUUUCACUAAUUACUCCCAAGAAGGGGACCUGCAACAGCCUGUAUUAAAGUUGAUUUUCAGAACCGACACUAACAGAACUCAAGCACUGUGGAACUCUUAAGGUAAAAAUGAGAGCACACGCAGGACACGUCAUGGGAAAGGCGCCGCUGAGUGGCCGACAUCCAGUCUCCUCUGUGCAGAGCCUCUUUUCCGAGCGGCUGGCACAGCACUCACUACACUUCCCAGAGUUCCUGGGGUCUGGAAGAACGCUUUGGAAGAGGAAGCUGUGGUGUCCUUGGGGGUAUGUGGAGUCUGAGAAAAGAGAGCAGAAGAAAGGUGUGACUGGAAAACCCAUAACGAUGGUGUGUACAUCAAGCUAUAGUUUAGUUCACUCAAGCAAAUGGAAGAAAGUGGUCUGUUUGGACCAGACCCAAACAGAACCUUUUGACCAACAAACAAAAUGUAACGCGCAGCAGAAACAUGAAGCAUGGUUGUGGCAGCAUCAUAAUUCCGUAUGAGUGAAUUUGAAGACGGAAGCAGGAGAAAGAGAAAGACCGAGGUUC